UACGACGGGUACGGGUUGUGAGAGCAAGAGCCCGGAGAUGGAUUCUGAGACACGAAUCCAGGCCCUACGGGGUGCAGCAGGCGCGAAAACUUUACAAUGUUGGCAACAGCGAUAAGGGAACCUCGAGUGCCAGGUUACAAAUCUGGCUGUCGAGAUGCCUAAAAAGCAUUUCAUAGCAAGGGCCGGGCAAGACCGGUGCCAGCCGCCGCGGUAACACCGGCGGCUCGAGUGGUAACCGUUAUUAUUGGGUCUAAAGGGUCUGUAGCCGGCCGGAUAAGUCUCUUGAGAAAUCUGGCAGCUUAACUGUCAGGCUUUCAGGAGAUACUGUCUGGCUCGAGGCCGGGAGAGGUGAGAGGUACUUCAGGGGUAGGGGUGAAAUCUUGUAAUCCUUGAAGGACCACCAGUGGCGAAGGCGUCUCACCAGAACGGACCUGACGGCAAGGGACGAAAGCUAGGGGCACGAACCGGAUUAGAUACCCGGGUAGUCCUAGCCGUAAACGAUACUCGCUAGGUGUCGGCCACGGUGCGACCGUUGUCGGUGCCGUAGGGAAGCCGUGAAGCGAGC
rnacentral:rRNA from 1 species